GGGGCAGAGGCGCUCCCCACAUCUCAGACGAUGGGUGGCCGGGCAGAGACGCUCCUCACUUUCCAGACUGGGCAGCCAGGCAGAGGGGCUCCUCACGUCCCAGAGGAUGGGCGGCCAGGCAGAGACGCUCCUCACUUCCCAGAUGGGAUGGCGGCCGGGAAGAGACGCUCCUCACUUUCCAGACUGGGCAGCCAGGCAGAGGGGCUCCUCACAUCCCAGAGGAUGGGCGGCCAGGCAGAGACGCUCCUCACUUCCCAGACAGGGUGGCGGCCGGGCAGAGGCUGCAAUCUCGGCACUUUGGGAGGCCAAGGCAGGCGGCUGGGAGGUGGAGGUUGUAGCGAGCCGAGAUCACGCCACUGCACUCCAGCCUGGGCACCAUUGAGCACUGAGUGAACCAGACUCCGUCUGCAAUCCCGGCACCUCGGGAGGCCGAGGCUGGCGGAUCACUAGCGGUUAGGAGCUGGAGACCAGCCCGGCCAACACAGCGAAACCCCGUCUCCAACCAAAAAAUACGAAAACCAGUCAGGCGUGGCGGCACGCGCCUGCAAUCGCAGGCACUCGGCAGGCUGAGGCAGGAGAAUCAGGCAGGGAGGUUGCAGUGAGCCGA
rnacentral:lncRNA from 1 species